GAUGAACGCUGGCGGCGUGCCUAAUACAUGCAAGUCGAGCGAACAGACGAGGAGCUUGCUCCUCUGACGUUAGCGGCGGACGGGUGAGUAACACGUGGAUAACCUACCUAUAAGACUGGGAUAACUUCGGGAAACCGGAGCUACUACCGGAUAAUAUAUUGAACCGCAUGGUUCAAUAGUGAAAGACGGUUUUGCUGUCACUUAUAGAUGGAUCCGCGCCGCAUUAGCUAGUUGGGAAGGUAACGGCUUACCAAGGCGACGAUGCGUAGCCGACCUGAGAGGGUGAAUGGCCAGAUGGGAACGGAGACACGGUCCAGACACCGACGGUAGGAAGCAGCAGGGAAUCUUACGCAAUGGGGGAAAGCCGGACGGAGCAAAGCGGGGUGAGGGAUGAAGGUGCUAGGACGGGAAAACGAUGUUAUUAGGGGAGAACAAAUGUGUAAGCAACUAUGAAGGUAUUGACGGUACCUAAUCAGAAAGCCACGGCUAACUACGUG
rnacentral:rRNA from 1 species